rnacentral:snoRNA from 1 species
UGAACCGCUGUCUAUGAUUACACGUUGCUGUCUGAAACGCCCUGUAGAUUUUUCUCAGCAUUCGUCACUACCACUGAGGCGGCAGUCUC